rnacentral:tRNA from 1 species
GUUUUAAUAGUUUAUAUAAAAAUAUUGAUUUUGUAAAUCAUUGAAAAAAUUUUAAUUUUUUAAAACU